GCGCUUGCUUCAGCAGCACUUAUACUAAAACUGGAACGAUACAGAGAAGCUUAGCAUAGCCUCUGAGCAAGGAUGACAUGCAAAUUUGUGAGCAAGGAUUCCAUAUUUUU
ensembl:snRNA U6 U6 spliceosomal RNA